rnacentral:lncRNA from 1 species
CGCGCUGCCUCAAUAAGGUUUUGAAAAUGGGUUUUCUCGUUGAUUAUCCACCGGAAAGCCCGCCUACCGAUAGCUAUUUAUCUUACCAUCCGUCGAAACUAUACGCACGCUCGUGAAAACGGCGAACAGGCAGCGCCAUCGGUUUUUUCACUUUUCCAACUCGGUCGAUCCGAGAUGUGACUUCUCUCAAGGCGACCGAGACUCUUGCUUCCUUCCAUCACGCCGCGCUCGUGCUUCUCCUUUUUUCCCUUCACUCAUCCAAGAGCGACGACCCGGCAAGCUUUCACAUGCCGCUUCUUCACAGGCUCGUCUUGUGUAAUGUUAUACAUUCGUGCACAGGGUGUCCGAAAAGUUACGAACAAAAAUCACGGGAAAAAUGUUUUUUAAAAAUCACGCUGUUCCGGAGGAAAAAGUUCGUGCUAAUUAUUCUCUGAGAUUCUCUGCUUUUAACUGGCGUCAUAAAGAAAUCAGAUUGGGAGCUGUUCAAUGCGGUUGAAAGGAUCGCAGCAUCGGCUAAAGGCCAUUUUUGUCCAACGGAAUAUCUAGGAAGGUAUUUUCGAUCGCGGAUGCUGUUUGGCACGAUGCGAGGAUGGGUUUUAUUCGGAAUUGAGGAAUUAUCGUGUUCGAAUGGAGGAAUGCGACAAUAGACGCGAUCUCGAGAUUUCUCCGGUCGUGCACAUAUCUAUACGACGAGUGGUUUCAUCAGAGACUACGAUAUUAAGGGGAGGGGCACACUUUGUCUCCCCGAUAAUUGAUCCAAUUACGAAGGGUUCUCUUGGACGCUCCAGAGAGGGAUUUCUCUCGUGGGCAGGUCACCUCGAGGCUUUCGCCACGGUCCAGGGCUCGGCUCUUUCGUCCGAUAUCCUCUGGGCGGGAUUCAUCCAGCAUCGUUUCUUCCAUGUAUAUGUUAUAUUGCUGCAAACCUCUACAUGUAUAUGUGCUCCGUCAGACCCAUGUUAUGAGCCAACUCGACCGAGAGAAAUAAUACCAUGUCCCAGCUCCUCCUACAGCUGCAUCAUCCAGGUAUUUUUGCUUUAUUCUCAUUUCGCUCUCCUUUUUUCUCUCCCUCUCAAUUUUUGGGAAUUUGAAACGCACGAGCUUAUCCCCUUUCAUCCAUAGCGUGUGUCACUCAGUUUCGUACCUGGCUCCCUCGCCAUAUUCCACCAAAAAAUGCCUACGAAGCAUUCCCCAUUAAAAUUUCAUUCGUUCGGAAACGAAGAUUUUCACGGAAUUUUUCUUCCUCGAGUUCAGUUUAAUACACUCUUUUUUAUCCGUGUCAAGAAGCCCUGUGAUAAGUGAAUAUCUAAGAAAAAUUGCGUUGCUCCGGUCGAUUGAAAGGAGCAUCAUUAUUUCAUGAGUCUCAGAAUGUUUUGAAGCGGAAAAAUUCCAGGCAUUUCGCAAAGACAUGCGAGCAUUUCCCAUUGAAAAUUCGAUAAUGUUUUGUCUGAUGCAUCAACUCCGAAGCCGUGGCAAUCCAGUGAGAUUUUCCACUAUGCAGACCGUUACGAGAAUUCUGAAACUGUAGUUUCUGGACUUUGGAAUUUUGCAGUUUCGACUCACACGAACAUGCACACAAGUCGAGAAUUUCUUUUCUACUGUUUAACCGCAAAGAUUUUGAUAGAUUUUCAAUACGUUCGUGCUUACUGAAAACACAAAAAAUGUAUUCACGAUGACAAAGCCUGUUAUGGGCAAAGCAUCGAACGGAAGUAAAUCCUAGAUCCACAAAUUCGCCGGGCCUUCGGUCGAAAACCGUUCCACUUGACGAGGAGAGCGUCCCAUGUACAGAGUGUCCUUAAAGUGUGUCAUCGUCAGUUUAGAGGCAAUAAAAUUAUAGAAUUACGAAAGCA